GAAACCAUGUAACAAGUGAGUGUUUACGGAUUGGUCUGUUUUCUGCCAAGAAAUUUGGGCCGUUUUGUUUGUCUUUGGCAUGAAAACAUCUUCAUUUUUGGCAUUACUGCUUGCAAUUCUAAUCCUACAUUUCCCACGA